rnacentral:rRNA from 1 species
GAGUUUGAUCCUGGCUCAGAACGAACGCUGGCGGCGUGCCUAACACAUGCAAGUCGAACGUGAUCCAGAGCUUGCUCUGGUGAAAGUGGCGCACGGGUGAGUAACGCGUGGAUAACCUACCCUGGUAUCCGGGAUAACAUUUCGAAAGGGGUGCUAAUACCGGAUAAGCCCACGGGCUCUUUGGAGCCUGCGGGAAAAGGUGGCCUCUAUUUAUAAGCUACUGUAUCAGGAUGGGUCCGCGUACCAUUAGCUAGUUGGCGGUGUAACGGACCACCAAGGCGACSAUGGUUAGCUGGUCUGAGAGGAUGAUCAGCCACACUGGAACUGAGACACGGUCCAGACUCCUACGGGAGGCAGCAGUGGGGAAUUUUGCGCAAUGGGGGAAACCCUGACGCAGCAACGCCGCGUGAGUGAUGAAGGCCUUUGGGUCGUAAAGCUCUGUCAGAGGGGAAGAAAUGAUAUAGUGCUAAUACCACUUUAUCUUGACGGUACCCUCAAAGGAAGCACCGGCUAACUCCGUGCCAGCAGCCGCGGUAAUAC